UCUCUCCUUGGAUACAUGUACCAUUGAUACACAUACAUUAACAUACUUACUUUCAUAUGAUGUUUCCUUUCUCUAUCUCCUAAUUUAUUAUACAUACAUACUUAUUCGAAUAUGCCUAUUCAACAAAUGAGUGAUACAUAUAGAUGUUAUUAUCUUUAUAGGUAUAUUGUCUAUAUAUGAAAUCAAGAUUCUUAAUACUAACAUGGGAUCAUAUAUAUACAUACUCUAUAACACACUAUAUAUUCAUUCCACCCCUGCUGCUGCCGCCACCCCUCUUUCAUUAACUUAUGAAUGUGUACUAGUACUACUCUGAUCAUAUCAUCAUACAUCCUUCUUCUUCAUUGAUUGAUUGAGUCUUUUGUUUUGUAACAACUCAUAUUAAUUUUCAACCAUGCCAGGAUGUUAAUAAUAAUUAAUAUACAGCAUAGUUAUUAUAAUAUGUAUUGACAUUGUAAUCCUUAUUUGUACACUCUACAGGGCCUUAUCUGGGAUUUUUCGGAGUGGGGUGCUGGGCUUAUCGAUGAAACUUUGACGCUUUUGACAUAUUUUUUUUAAAAGAUAAAGUUCGUAUGUUUCAAAAUUGUAACAAAAAACGUUAUCUUUUAGACAAAGUUGACAGAAAAGUUUAGUCGGAGAAGGUGGAGUGGGUAGCAUCAUCCUGUAGUCAUGGGAUUGAAGUUUGACAGGAUGUAUUAGACAUUUUUUGAAUAAUAAAAAAUGGACUAUAAUGAAUAUUGGUAAUUUCAAAGUGUGUCAAAAAGUCUUGUCUUUUCGACAAAUUUGACUAUAAAUUUUAGUCAGGGGGUUGUAGCAUAUUCCCGUAGUCAUGGGCUUGAAUUUUGACACAAUGUUUUUAUGUCCUAUUUUUUGUAGGAAAGACAUAAAUAAAAUAAAAAACAAAGACAAGGAAUAUUGUUAAAUUUUAAUUGUGAUAAAGAAAAUGAGAAGAAAUUUUGACAAGAACCUUUGAUUUUUGCUGUCUUUUCGACCAUUUUGACAACACAAUUUUAGUCAAGGGUGGGUUAAGGCUGUAGCGUUCCCCCUCCCCUAUACCAUAUAUUUUUCAAAAAAUAUCCCACUCCGUAGUCACGGAUCUGUCUUAGUAAUUGCAUGUCAUACAUAUUUACAAAAGAUUUCUCUAUGUCUAAAGGAAUGAUCCUCUUUUAUUUAUCCGUUUUUACCCCAAACAGUACGCUUAUUCCGACGUGGCUUUAAAAAUAUAGUGGGAUAAUCUCAUAGUUGUUAACAUACUUACAAUUGCAACUUUUUUUAGUUAAAUUAAGGAAAAAUUGCAAAGAUAGCCACGCUCCCUUUGUUAAAACAUACGCGACUCUAGGAUAUCUUUGAGAAAAUAAA
rnacentral:lncRNA from 1 species